rnacentral:tRNA from 1 species
CCGGAAGGUGCGGCUGGAUCACCUCCUUUCUAGGGAGAUCCGAGUCGAAGUCCGCGGUGGAAUUUCGACGUUACAGGCUCCCAGGUUGAUCGCCCGACCCUCGUGGAAAUUCGCGUCAGGUGAAUUUCCGGUCACCGCAAGGUGAGUGGUCGAAGCGACCUGACAAAACCACCGAAAACUGCUCGUGCAGAUCUUGAGCCGUGUUCCUACCACUCUUCACCGGUCAAGGAUGCAGCCGCCGGCGGCGACCGCGUGUCGACCCGCGUCGGCACACGUCUCCGGCGGGCGUUUAGCUCAGUUGGUUAGAGCACUGCCCUGAUAAGGCAGAGGCCUCUGGUUCGAGUCCAGAAACGCCCACCACUUCCACGGUUGCCUCGCGCAAACUAGGGCUCGGGGGAAACGGCCGGGGGACGUAGCUCAGUUGGCAGAGCAUCUCCUUUGCAAGGAGAGGGUCAGGAGUUCGAGUCUCCUCGUCUCCACCACUCUCGAUCGCAACGCAGAAGAGGUCACGAACCUGCUCGGAGUCGCAUCCAACCAGAAUUGAAGAAGCCGGGUCGGACCCGGAACACCACUCGAGCACCACGUGCUGUCAUGACGACGGUUCGGGACGAAUGAUCUCGAGCCGUUGUUUUUGUGUCCGGUCCAGGGAACCGCAGCCACCCUCCUGAUCCGUGAUCUCCACGACCUGGAGCUCACCGACCAGCAGGUUUGCUGGGCAGGGACGCCGGCCUUACCUCCGGCGCCGCCGAGACCUCUUCGGAGGCCGCACCUUACCAAUUGCAUAUGUGUCAUCGGCAAGAUUGAAGAAACUUCGAUUUCGCCGAGUUUCAAGGUGUAUCCCGGACCCCGCAUGUCCGGCGCCGUAAAGGACGCCGGCUUCUCAUCCACUGACCGCCUGGUCAGAGGCUGAAAGGGGGUCAAGCUACAAAGGGCACGG